rnacentral:rRNA from 1 species
AAAUUGAAGAGUUUGAUCAUGGCUCAGAUUGAACGCUGGCGGCAGGCCUAACACAUGCAAGUCGAACGGUAACAGGAAACAGCUUGCUGUUUCGCUGACGAGUGGCGGACGGGUGAGUAAUGUCUGGGAAACUGCCUGAUGGAGGGGGAUAACUACUGGAAACGGUAGCUAAUACCGCAUAAUGUCGCAAGACUAAAGAGGGGGACCUUCGGGCCUCUUGCCAUCGGAUGUGCCCAGAUGGGAUUAGCUAGUAGGUGGGGUAACGGCUCACCUAGGCGACGAUCCCUAGCUGGUCUGAGAGGAUGACCAGCCACACUGGAACUGAGACACGGUCCAGACUCCUACGGGAGGCAGCAGUGGGGAAUAUUGCACAAUGGGCGCAAGCCUGAUGCAGCCAUGCCGCGUGUAUGAAGAAGGCCUUCGGGUUGUAAAGUACUUUCAGCGGGGAGGAAGGGAGUAAAGUUAAUACCUUUACUCAUUGACGUUACCCGCAGAAGAAGCACCGGCUAACUCCGUGCCAGCAGCCGCGGUAAUACGGAGGGUGCAAGCGUUAAUCGGAAUUACUGGGCGUAAAGCGCACGCAGGCGGUUUGUUAAGUCAGAUGUGAAAUCCCCGGGCUCAACCUGGGAACUGCAUCUGAUACUGGCAAGCUUGAG